CCUACGGGAGGCUGCAGUGAGGAAUAUUGGUCAAUGGACGAGAGUCUGAACCAGCCAAGUAGCGUGAAGGAUGACUGCCCUAUGGGUUGUAAACUUCUUUUAUAAAGGAAUAAAACGAGGCACGUGUGCCUUUUUGCAUGUACUUUAUGAAUAAGGAUCGGCUAACUCCGUGCCAGCAGCCGCGGUAAUACGGAGGAUCCGAUCGUUAUCCGGAUUUAUUGGGUUUAAAGGGAGCGUAGAUGGGUUGUUAAGUCAGUUGUGAAAGGUUGCGGCUCAACCGUAAAAUUGCAAUUGAUACUGGCAGUCUUGAGUACAGUUGAGGUAGGCGGAAUUCGUGGUGUAGCGGUGAAAUGCUUAGAUAUCACGAAGAACCCCGAUUGCGAAGGCAGCUUACUAAACUGUGACUGACAUUGAUGCUCGAAAGUGUGGGUAUCAAACAGGAUUAGAUACCCUAGUAGUC
rnacentral:rRNA from 1 species